rnacentral:rRNA from 1 species
UACGUAGGGUGCGAGCGUUGUCCGGAAUUAUUGGGCGUAAAGGGCUCGUAGGCGGUUUGUCGCGUCGGGAGUGAAAUCCACUGGCUUAACUGGUGGCUUGCUUUCGAUACGGGCAGACUGGAGGUAUGCAGGGGAGAACGGAAUUCCUGGUGUAGCGGUGAAAUGCGCAGAUAUCAGGAGGAACACCUAUAGCGAAGGCAGCUUGCUGGGACGUUACUGACGCUAAGGCGCGAAAAGCGUGGGGAGCGAACAGG